CCUCUGUCUAUUGGCAAGGACAUAGGCUUGCACCUCCAAAAAGGUCCUGCUGACAAUCUCCAAUGAGGGUGGCUUUCAGUAAUAUGCCAGGUGCCAUUACACCUCCUUGCGCACUUCCUGCAAAUCUCCUGCUGCUCGCCUGUCUGCAGCAUAACUUCGGCCUUCCCGCUCACCGCCACGUGAGACUGUGCAAACAGCAGCAGGCGAUAGUGGAGUUUCAGCUGCAGCACGCACACGUGUC